ACCAAAAUGCAGCGUGGUUAUUUAUAAACAUCUUUAAUAAAGAUGAUAACGUGAACAAUAUACUUGUACAAAACAAGAAAAUGUGGAAAACCGAAAACAGUCCUAACAGGUGCAGAAAACACAAAGACAGGAACAAUCACCCACGAAAUACCCAAAGAAUAUGGCUGCCUAAAUAUGGUUCCCAAUCAGAGACAACGAUAAACACCUGCCUCUGAUUGAGAACCACUCUAGGCAACCAUAGACUUACCUAGAAUACUACACUGGACACAACCCCAUCAAUCUACAAAACCCCUAGACAAGACAAACACAUAAUCACCCAUGUCACACCCUGGCCUAACCACAAUAAUAAAAAAAACACAAAAUACUAAGGCCAGGGCGUGACAAUACAUUUAGUGUUGUAGAUAUGUAGUGGUGUAAUAUUGUGGUGUUGUGGUAUUAUACAUUUAGUAUUGUAGUGGUGUAAUAUUGUGGUAUGGUGGUAUCAUACAUUUAGUAUUGUAGAUAUGGAGUGGUGUACUAUUGUGGUAUGGUGGUAUUAUACAUUUAGUAUUGUAGAUAUGUAGUGUUGUAAUAAUGUGUUGUGCUAGUAUUAUACAUUUAGUAUUGUAGAUAUGUAGUGGUGUAAUAUUGUGGUAUGGUGGUACUAUAUAUUUAGUAUUGUAGAUGUGUAGUGUUGUAAUAAUGUGUUGUGCUGGUAUUAUACAUUUAGUAUUGUAGAUAUGUAGUGGUGUAAUAUUGUGGUAUUAUACAUUUAGUAUUGUAGAUAUUGUGGUGUGGUGGUAUUAUACAUUUAAUAUUGUAGAUAUGUAGUGAUGUAAUAUUGUGGUAUGGUGGUAUUAUACAUUUAGUAUUGUAGUGGUGUAAUAUUGUGUAUGGUGGUAUUAUACAUUUAGUAUUGUAGAUAUGGAGUGGUGGUAUUAUACAUUUAGUAUUGUUGAUGUGUAGUGGUGUAAUAUUGUGGUAUGAUGGUAUUAUACAUUUAGUAUUGUAGUGGUGUAAUAUUGUGUAUGGUGGUAUUAUACAUUUAGUAUUGUAGAUAUGGAGUGGUGUAAUAUUGUGGUAUUGUGGAAUUAUACAUUUAUUAUUGUAGAUAUGUAGUGGUGUAAUAUUGUGGUAUGGUGGUACUAUACAUUUAGUAUUGUAGUGGUGUACUAUUGUGGUAUGGUGGUAUUAUACAUUUAGUAUUGCUAAUAUGUAGUGGUGUAAUAUUGUGGUAUGGUGGUAUUAUACAUGUAGUAUUGUAGAUAUAUAGUGGUGUAAUAUUGUGGUAUGGUGGCAUUAUACAUUUAGUAUUGUAGAUAUGUAGUGGUGUAAUAUUGUGGUAUGGUGGUAUUAUACAUUUAGUAUUGUAGAUAUAUAGUGGUGUAAUAUUGUGGUAUGGUGGCAUUAUACAUUUAGUAUUGUAGAUAUGUAGUGGUGUAAUAUUGUGGUAUUAUACAUUUAGU
ensembl:lncRNA